CAUCGCUACCCUUAACCGGUCUGCUUCAUCGCCUGCCGCCGUACAACACCACCCUUCGCCGGGACGUUGUUCUCAUCUCUGUUCAGGUUACCAGAGAUUAUGGCUUUCUCUCUUGUUCUAAAGAAGCUUAUUGCAUCUAAUUUACUGCAAGACCCGUCGUUACAUCCCCUCGAACUGUGGCUCAUAAUCUGCUCAUGAGAUCAGGUGUUCAGAGCAUUCAUACCUCUUCUUACACUCGGGUCUGUACUUCCAAACUUCUCACAUGCAGAUCCCUUGUUCCGUUCCUGUCACCAACGUCAGCAGCAGUUUCUAGUUCGGUGAUUUCACGUUUUAUCCUUAGAAGGGAUUUACAAGUUGAUGUCUCUCAUGAAAAUUCUGUGAUGGGACGCAUCUGCCGUUUGCUGGAUCCUCGUGGCUGGUGGUCUAUGGUGUUCAAGUAUGAGGACAAUUUAGUUAAGGUUAACAAAGAAAAGGUGUUAUUUUCAUUUCAACAUCUAAAACUGAUGAAGGCCUCGCUUUAAAGAUACAAAUGCAUGGAGUUCAAAGUCGUAACUUGAAGGUGUCCGUUGAAGACCAUACUUUGUUUUGCAGUUUCAUCAAGGCGUAUGAGAACAUCACCAUUACCUUCACAAUGAACCUACCAAAUAAGAAGACAUAUCAACCUAGUGACGUGAAAGCGAAGAUGAAGAAUGGCGUAUUACUGGUAACUUUUACUAACUUGACUAUAGAUGAUGUAGAUUAGAUUUACCAACACUCAGUCUGGUAAAUAUUUUGUUAAUUGUUAUGAAAUAGAAGCAAGCAAUUUUGUAAAUGAAAUGAUCUGAGAUUCAUUAUGUUCAGUGGCUGUAAAACGAAGUCGUAAA